ACUGGAGGAGCGAGGGGUGGGGAGAGCCCUCUGUUCACCCCUGCCCUGCCCUGGCGCUGGUCCGCCGCCGCCCGCUGCUCUCGCGCUGGUCCGCAGCUCAGCCGAGCAGCUCCCUUCAUCUGGCCGCCUAGUCCCUCACUCAGCCGCGAGAGGUGGAGCUCCGGCGACCUCCGGCCUUCCCUCGGGGUCUGCGCGGCCCCUACCCCAAACCCGCCCAGGGGAGAGGCGUGAAGGGGCCGGCUGCGAUGCAGAGGCGGGAAGCGAGGCUGGAGAAGGGGACGCGGGGAGGCAGGGAGUGGACCCCCAGCGUACUACAGGAGCCGGCAGGAGCCAAACCCCAGCCCGCCACACAGAUUGUCUGGCCUACGCUCCUUUGAGGAAAUAAAGAUGACCGUAGCCAAGCUGCCCUGCUCUGCACGAAGGACCCUGGGCGCCCCAUCCUAACUCUCCUGCCUUAUGCUUGAGAUUAGCAUAUCCACCCAGCAACUCCCCUGCCCCAGACUUACUUGACCACUGCAGUCCACACUGACUCUCCUAUCCACCAGAACUGUGCACUUAAAAUCUGCUGCACACAAUCCCAUACUUGCUUGAGUCUGGCUUUGUUCUCCAAUAGUUUCAAAUGCCUGUUUGACUCCCCCCGCCACCCCUACAGAGAUAAGGUCAUCACAAGCAGUAACUACUGCUUUGCUUGUUUUGAUUCCCACAGAGCCGAGCAUAGAUUGAUGUGGCAUAAGUGCUCAAUAAAUGCCCAUGGACUUGGCUAAUGGAUGGACUUGCAGGGGACACUGCCCUAUCAGGAGAGAAAGGUGGCCUUAAUCUCAUAAGGUCCUAUUUCCUGGGAGUGUCUCAAAAAUCGGCAGAGUCAUUCUCCCCCCACCAUCCCUCCUUGCCUCCAGUCCCCUCGGCCUUCUGGAUCCCCGUGGGUUUGGAGAGGCCGAUGCUUGUGGCUCUUACCAACAUCAAUUUGCAGUCGCCAGGAUGCAACUUCACCCUAUGCUGCGUUCAUAAAUUAAUCUCCUGGGAUUAGAUUCUGUGUUUUAGUAACACUCCUGAGGCAUUGUAUUUACACAUUAAUAAUAAAAGAAAAAAAGUGAGACAAGUUCUGACAACUUUCAAUAACAUUCAGAAAUAAAGUGCGAGGCACGGAAGUGUCCAAAGUUAAUUAAAACCAUUUGGUGCUGACGGGGGCUGGGGGUGUUGCCUGCCGAGCUCCGACAGGUGCUAUUUCUGAAAUGCAAUUUCCCUGUCUAUAAUGUACCUGAUGCCUGCAGAAAAGGGGAAACCGAAAUAGACUGAACUGGCAGCGUGAGCUUGAA